rnacentral:lncRNA from 1 species
CAAUGCACAUUGAACUCCAUUUCCCAACAGUAGAGUUUUGAUAUGUUUGUUCCCAAACCUUAAUUCUCCCGAAUACAUUAACAAACAAAAUUCUACAUUGUUGAAUCAAUCCUUAUGCUUAUUGUACAAAAAUUAGAGACAAAUUAGAUUUUCUUUAAGAAAAAAAUGUUCCUGCGAUGAAAGAAUUAAAUAAGACUUUGCAGUUCAAGUAUGCUUAAUAACUCACAACGAGAAGAAUAUACAUGA